AUUUUUUACAGGGCAAAUUUGCCUUAAAGGGCUAAUUUUCAAUGAUGUCCCUAUGCCAGAUAUCAAAGGGCCCCUGGUGGUUCCAGGUGGGAUCGUUGUUUGGUCGCUGACGUGAAGACGGCGGUAAAGACGCAGUGGCAUUGUGCCCCCGCCCCGAACACCUAAGGGAGCCUGCGUGGUGCUGAGAGACUCUUGUGCUGGGAUUAAGAAUGGGAAGAUACUUCAAUCCACCCAUAACAACAACAACAACAACAACAACAACAAUCUCACACUAUUACUGAUACAAGUAUUAUAGCAAAUACCACAGAUGGUGCUGUUUUCACUAGUACUUCUAACAAUACUCAUGUCACUGUAAACACAUAGUAUGUUUAGCUUCCACAAUGAUACAGUGAACUGAUCAACCAAACCUUUUUUUUUUGCAUUUUAGUAACAUCCAGUAACAUCCACAUUUAUUCCCCCCAACUGA
rnacentral:lncRNA from 1 species